rnacentral:tRNA from 1 species
GGCGUGGUGGCUGAGUGGUAAAGCGCUUGGCUUCAAACCGGGGGUCUUAGGUUCAAACCCUGGUGAAGACU